rnacentral:rRNA from 1 species
GAUGAACGCUGGCGGCGUGCCUAAUACAUGCAAGUCGAGCGAACAGACGAGGAGCUUGCUCCUCUGACGUUAGCGGCGGACGGGUGAGUAACACGUGGAUAACCUACCUAUAAGACUGGGAUAACUUCGGGAAACCGGAGCUAAUACCGGAUAAUAUAUUGAACCGCAUGGUUCAAUAGUGAAAGACGGUUUUGCUGUCACUUAUAGAUGGAUCCGCGCCGCAUUAGCUAGUUGGUAAGGUAACGGCUUACCAAGGCAACGAUGCGUAGCCGACCUGAGAGGGUGAUCGGCCACACUGGAACUGAGACACGGACCAGACUCCUACGGGAGGCAGCAGUAGGGAAUCUUCCGCAAUGGGCGAAAGCCUGACGGAGCAACGCCGCGUGAGAGAUGAAGGUCUUCGGAUCGUAAAACUCUGUUAUGAGGGAAGAACAAAUGUGUAAGUAACUAUGCACGUCUUGACGGUACCUAAUCAGAAAGCCACGGCUAACUACGUG